rnacentral:lncRNA from 1 species
GUGAAAGAGAGUUUGUUUACCAGCUUCUGUGACUUCCCUGGAGAUGGCUGGCAACAGACGGGCCUCCAGCUGAGCGGGGAGCUUUGGGGUGCUGGGCCCAGGGGCUGCCGAGGACUUGCAAAGGAGUGAGAAUAUGAUCUUAUCUGCCAGAUUGUGUUUCUUAUGUGUGUGAGUACUUCUCGCAUGGACCUGGAAAUUCCAAGUGCACGUCUGUGUUCGAUUAUAAAGAUACAGAAGAUCAGGAGGAUGUGGUGUGGUGCUCUGGAAUGGAGAGCUGCAGCCAGGGCGGGUGCCCCCGAGACCUUGGGACCCCGGUCACCACCCCCUCAGGAGCCACCGUGUUGGUGAUCCCCCCCCACCCCAUGAGCCAGGAGGAGGAAGCUCUGCAGAAGAAAUUCAACAAACUCAAGAAAAAGAAAAAGGCAUUGCUGGCUCUGAAGAAGCAAAGUAGUAGCAGCACAGCCAGCCAAGGCGGUGGGAAACGCUCACGGGGGAACAGCCUGUGGUGGACCUGGCCACCCUGCAGAGCAGGCAAAGCAGCUGAAGUCAGCAGCCUUCAGUGCCACCAAGGCUGAGACCAAGAACUGGGGCGUCAAGCGUUCUCAACCCUAGGGGGGAAGUUAAAGGGCCCUGAGAAGGGGCCAGUCCCCACUUUCCAGCCCUCCCGAUCUGCAGGAGUCGCCCAGACGCCCCCAAAGGAAAUCUGUGUAUGAGGGUUUUGUGCCUUCCAGUGAUCGGCUUCGGGACCUGGGGCCAGCGGGGCCCACAGUCGUGAGCGGACCGGGACAGGGACCGCGACGGGGACAACGAGAGGGCCCUUUCCGCAGGUCGGAUUCGUUCCCUGAACGCAGGGCCCCUCGGAAGGGGAAUACUCUAGGCGUGUGGCGAGGACUGACGCCCACCCUCCUUCGUGGGGCCCUCUCUCCCUUUGGAAACAUCAUUGACCUCUCCAUGGAGCCACCCAGAAACUGUGCCUUCGUCCCCUGUGAAAAGAUGGACACAGCAGAUCAGGCCGUUGCUGAGCUCAAGGGGACCCAGGUGGAGUCUCCAGCUCAAAGUCAGCCUCGCCCGCAAGCAGCCCAUGCUGGCCGCUGCCCCUGGCAAGUCAGUCUGGGGCUCCCUCGCUGUCCAGAAUAGCCCUAAGGGUUGCCAUCGGGACAAGAGGACCCAGACUGUCUACAGCCACGAUGUCUACAAGGGAAACCUUGUGGAUGGCUUCUAGGGAACAGAGCUGGAUUCCGUGUGCCUCACCUGUGCCAACACUGGUCUCAGUAAAACACUGAGGUGGAAGCUCACACAUCUCCCCCGCCUCUGGUUUUCCAGCACUUGGGAUUGGGGUUGAGCCUUUAAAAACAGCUGUUAGAUUUUAUCUCAGUUGUAACACAUGGCCAGUGCACGUUCCCCUCUCCCUUCUCCCAAAAGGAUCUUGAACACAGAAAAAUAUAUAAAUAAAUAAAAAUAAAAAUAGUCACUGUUAAAUGGCAACAAAAUGUAUCCCCGGUGUCUGAGCCGAUGUUAGUGCAUAAACUUUUGAGAGUUCCUGCUAAGCUGACUAUUGCAUUCGCUGAAAUAUUGCACUAACAAGAGGAAAGGCAUUCUCACAGACCAGAUACUAAAUGAAAAUCAUCCCAAAG